AUUGAACGCUGGCGGCAGGCUUAACACAUGCAAGUCGAACGAGUGGCGGACGGGUGAGUAAUGAUUGGGAAUCUAGCUUAUGGAGGGGGAUAACUACGGGAAACGGUAGAUAAUACCGCGUACCGUAGGAUGAGCCCAAGUGGGAUUAGGUCGUUGGUGAGGUAAAGGCUCACCAAGCCGACGAUCUCUAGCUGGUCUGAGAGGAUUACCAGCCACACUGGGACUGAGACACGGCCCAGACUCCUACGUGAGGCAUCAGUGGGGAAUAGUGCUCAAUGGGGGCAACCUGACGCAGCCAUGCCGCGUGAAUGAAGAAGGCCUUCGGGUUGUAAAGUGCUUUCGUUAGCGAGGCGUUACCUACAGAAGAAGCACCGGCUAACUCCGUGCCAGCAGCCGCGGUAAUAC
rnacentral:rRNA from 1 species